CGCCAUUCUCCUGCCUCAGACCCCGGAGUAGCCGGGACUACAGGCGCCUGUGCAAUCUCUAUGGUAACCACAUUUCCCAGUUGACUACUACCGGUAAUAAAAUCAAAUGGAUUCAGUGCUCACAACUCUUCAGUCUUUGGGCUACUUUCCAUUCUUGAAUUUUUAGCUGAAUUCAUCUCUUUGGCUGGAUUUUGUGAAUCGGGCAGCCAUUAGAACCAAAACAGUUCUGAGGAGCUCCCAGGCUGCAAUGUGGUGCGAAAUGUUUUAUGGACAGAAAAUGGAAAUGAGGUGCAGAAAUUGGAGAUGAAAUUUCAGUCUUUAUUCAAGAUCAAGUGCAACUGUCUCUUUGAGGAAAGUCCUUUGACCGCCAUUUCUCCCCUUCAGAAGGCAAACACCUGGGGGAGAAGAUCUGCUUAAGGACCUGGUAACUGACAAAGAAUGGAAUGGGAGCGAGAACCGCCUAGCCAUCCCUUCUCCUUGCACAGUCAUGAAACAAAAGUUGAAAAGGAGCCUGGUUUUACUUGACCAGUCAUAAAUUACCAUAAAAUAAAAUGAGAUAUUAGGAACCUUUGAUCUCUGAAAAAGUAAUAUGUGUUGAAAAGAAAUAUCACUGUUACAUAUAGACAAAUAAUAGAAAUAUUUGAGGCAUGCAUUUAAAAUGUAGAGGCCACUUAUAGCAGGCAUAUUAACAUGUGCAUUUGCUUUUUAAGAAGUAUACACACGUGUACCUUUAGCUUUGAAAGGGUAAGAUUCAAUGCUUGGGUGAUGGAUGCACUAAAGUCUCAGAAGCCACCACUAAAGGACUUACCCACGUAACCGAAAACAACCUGUACUCCAAAAUCAAUGAAAUAAAAUAAAAAGGUAAGAUUCAUAAAUAGCAAGUUGAGAAUGCAUGUUUAUACCAUGUAGACAAUGCAUGA
rnacentral:lncRNA from 1 species